CCAGCCAUGCCGCGUGAGUGAAGAAGGCCUUCGGGUUGUAAAGCUCUUUCGGCCGGGAAGAAAUCGGCGACUCUAACAUAGUCGCUGGAUGACGGUACCGGACUAGGAANCACCGGCUAACUACGUGCCAGCACCGCGUAAUAAGCGUGAUUGCCCGGUCNAGG
rnacentral:rRNA from 1 species